AUUCCUGAGCUUCCUCUCCAUGCAAGAGUCCACUUGUAAAACAAACAACGGGCUGGGAGUUGUGUCUCCCCUUCACCACCAGUGCUUCUGUGUACAGCUCAUCCACUUCCUCAUCCGUAAACUGAUCCCCCACGGUUGUCAGCAGCUCUCUCAGGUAAUCUUCCUGAAUGGUGCCUGUUGCUUCUUCAUCAAAGCAAGCAAAAGCAUUUCUGAUGACGUCUUCAGGAUCUGUGCCAUUUAACUUCUUACCAAACAUGGCGAGCAACAUGGUGAAGUUAAUGGGCCCUGGUGCCUCAUUCAUCACGGCAUCAAGGCAUGCAUCAGUGGGAUUCUUCCCUAGAGAAGCAAGCAUACCAUGCAAAUCUUCCUUGCUGAUGAAACCAUCUCUGUUCUGAUCAAUCAUGUUGAAGGCCUCUUUGAACUCCUGAAUCUGUGACUGGUCAAACGUGGCAAACACCUUG
rnacentral:lncRNA from 1 species